rnacentral:lncRNA from 1 species
CAAUCAUUGCUGGCAUAUAAGUCGGAGUCAACUAUAAAUGACCAGUAUGACUUAUCCGUAUCUCAUCACAUAUCUCAUCAAUCUACUAGCCGGAGUCACCUCACAUGACUUGUACGGCUGAAUCAAUAUCUCAUCAACAUACUCACUACCAUCACUAUCAUCAACAUGUACUCACCUGAAGCUUACUUGGGCGUUCGCAGCAUCAUUUGGCACUUCGAAGCAUUCACAAUAAUUAGGUUCAGGUAAUACACAUAUGAAUAUGUCAUGAUGCAAUCUAGAACUCAACUAUAACAUAGUAUUUUCAAGUAUAUAUAUAACAUGGCGUGAAAUGCAUAAUCUGUAAGUCCCAUUUCCAAACUAUUUAUUUUCGGGGAUAAUUAUCGGUGAUAAGCCCAAUUAGACACUAGUUUAAUUAAUUAACAUAAAUUACGUUUCCUUACUUCAAUUCCUUGAUUCUUCACACAUUGAUUUAUGAACAACAAUUAACUACCAAAUCAUAAGGUUAAUUCUCACAUUUUCCACCAAUGUCCCUCACAUUGUUCAAUUCCCCAAACAAGGAUAUUGUCUUAAUUAUUUAGUCUCAUUUAUUAUAUGGCUGCAUCUAACGUCUUGUUAGACUGCCUACAUAC